AAGCGAUAUAAGAACGCAGUUCAUCCAGCCACGUAAAACGACUUGGUCAGGAAUACCUUACCAAUGUACACAAAAAACUCCUUUCUUUUGUUAUGUUGGCUAGCCCGAUGUUGAAAUUGGAUAUGAAUAGGGUUAUGAUUAUAUUAUAUAGUAAAAAGUUUUAUAGUAAAAACACGAUAGAAGAAAUAUUAGAAUUUUAUGUCAAAUUGCAUGUUCCGAUGCACAUUUUUUUAUCAAAAAUAAACCAAAAGAGUACGAGUAUACAGAAGCGGAUUAUCCUUCAGGAAAACUAGGCACGUGAAUAAGGGCUUGAAGUUACAAAUGAGUGCGCGCACCGAAUUUUUAAACAAAAAAGAGUAACAUAAAAUUAUUUGUUAGAUCAAACAAACGUGCGGCUUACUGGCUGGAAAGGGUCUUACAUGAUCAUCUAAAAUAAAAAAAAAAUAUAUAAGAAAAGAAAGAUAAUUUUUGAAAGGUUUUUGUAUCCCUAUUCAAUUAUAUAUUUCAUGCCAGGGAGGGGUCCUGGUGCCUUGUGAUACGGGUUCUUCGGAUAACCAGUUUAGGCACCAGUUCUUUGCAACUUUAAUGUAUCUAUGGUAUUAUUAUAAAUGAUUCAUUGUACUCAAAAAAGUUGUCAGAUAAAUAAACAUUAUUAUAUAUAGUUUGUCUUUCAUUUCUCCUUUACUGACAUUGACGAUUUUAGUGACGCUUCCAAGAUUAAAUACGACCUUACAUUUUAGAUUAUAACUAAGACCAAUUUACGUCACGCAAUUGAAUAGAAAAUCCAAACAAUUACAAUAUGUUUUAAUCAUUAAUUUUGAUUUCGAUCUUAAUUACUAAAAAUAUAUUGUACUUGUUUGUAGAAAUAUCUAGUACAGUCAGCAUUAAAAUUAAAGAGAUAUUCGUGAGUAAUGUAUUUUUUGUUUAAUGGAAAUGGAGAUGAAAAUGAAUGGAGGUUCCAUUAUUAACAUUCCCCUUC